UUAACUUACACCCACACCGCCAGGGGAUUACGAGCAAUGCUUAAAACCCAAAGGAUUUGACGGUGUCCCACCCUACUAGAGGAGCCUGUUCUAUAAUCGAUGAUCCCCGCUUCACCUAACCAUCCCUCGCCUUCAGUCUGUAUACCUCCGUCGGAAGCUUACCAUGUGAACGCCCGCAGUGGGCUUAAUGAUCUACCAUCAGUACGUCAGGUCAAGGUGCAGCUUAAGGGGUGGCAAGUAAUGGGCUACAAUUUCUAAUCUAGAACAAACGAAAGACUAUGUGAAACCCUAGUCAUGAAGGUGGAUUUAGUAGUAAAAAGAAAACAGAGUGUUCUUUUUAACCCGGCUCUGGGACGCGUACACACCGCCCGUCACCCUCUUCAAUAGUACCGUAUCUGUUCAUAACCCAACAUCACGUUUUAGAAGAGGCAAGUCGUAACAUGGUAAGUGUACUGGAAAGUGCACUUGGUAUACUA
rnacentral:rRNA from 1 species